ACAGUGGAUGCGAGCAUCUUUGUAGCAAGUUAGUAAGGGCAUACGGUGGAUGUCUUGGCACCAGGAGCCGAUGAAGGACGUAGGAGACUGCGAAAAGUCUAGGGGAGCUGUCAACCGAGCUGAGAUCCUAGAAUUUCCGAAUGGGGAAACCCGGCCCCAGUCAUGUGGGGUCACCCAUACCUGAACACAUAGGGUAUGUGGAGGGAACGCGGGGAAGUGAAACAUCUCAGUACCCGCAGGAAGAGAAAACAACCGUGAUUCCGUGAGUAGUGGCGAGCGAAAGCGGAUGAGGCUAAACCGCGUCUGUGUGAUACCCGGCAGGGGUUGCAUUCGCGGGGUCGUGGGACCUUUUGGUCAGUUCUGCCGGACUGGCAACGAGUCAGAAAAUACUGUGGUUAGAGGAAUACGUCUGGAAAGCGUGAGCGUAGAGGGUGAAACUCCCGUACUCGAAAACCUGGUAUCUCGUUAGAGUGUUCCCAAGUAGCAGCGUACUCGUGAAAUUCGCUGUGAAUCUGGCGGGACCACCCGCUAAGCCUAAAUACUCCCUGGUGACCGAUAGCGGACUAGUACCGUGAGGGAAAGAUGAAAAGUACCCCGGGAGGGGAGUGAAAUAGUACCUGAAACCGUGUGCCUACAAUCCGUCGGAGCCUUUAGGGGUGACGGCGUGCCUUUUGAAGAAUGAGCCUGCGAGUUAGUGCUACGUGGCGAGGUUAACCCGUGUGGGGUAGCCGUAGCGAAAGCGAGUCUGAAUAGGGCGCUUGAGUCGCGUGGUCUAGACCCGAAGCGGUGUGAUCUAGCCAUGGCCAGGGUGAAGCGCGGGUAAGACCGCGUGGAGGCCCGAACCCACCAGGGUUGAAAACCUGGGGGAUGAGCUGUGGUUAGGGGUGAAAGGCCAAUCAAACACCGUGAUAGCUGGUUCUCCCCGAAAUGCAUUUAGGUGCAGCGUCGUGUGUUUCACCACGGGGGUAGAGCACUGGAUGGUCUAGGGGGCCUACAAGCUUACCGAAAUCAACCAAACUCCGAAUACCGUGGUGUGAGAGCGCGGCAGUGAGACUGCGGGGGAUAAGCUUCGUAGUCGAGAGGGAAACAGCCCAGAACGCCAGCUAAGGUCCCUAAGUGUGUGCUAAGUGGGAAAGGAUGUGGGGUCGCACAGACAGCCAGGAGGUUGGCUUAGAAGCAGCCACCCUUUAAAGAGUGCGUAAUAGCUCACUGGUCAAGUGGUCCUGCGCCGACAAUGUAGCGGGGCUUAAGCACACCACCGAAGCUGUGUCAUUUCAGCCUUGUGCUGGGAUGGGUAGGGGAGCGUCGUGUAGCGGUUGAAGCGGCGGAGUAAUCCAGCCGUGGACGCUAUGCGAGUGAGAAUGCAGGCAUGAGUAGCGAAAGACGAGUGAGAAACUCGUCCGCCGGAUGACCAAGGGUUCCUGGGCCAGGCUAAUCCGCCCAGGGUAAGUCGGGACCUAAGGCGAGGCCGACAGGCGUAGUCGAUGGACAACGGGUUGAUAUUCCCGUACCCGUGUGAACGCGCCCAUGAUGAACCUUGUGAUACUAACCGCCCGAAGCACC
rnacentral:rRNA from 1 species